rnacentral:rRNA from 1 species
UACAGAGGUCCCAAGCGUUGUUCGGAUUCACUGGGCGUAAAGGGUGCGUAGGUGGUCGGGUAAGUCUGCUGUGAAAGCCCGGGGCUCAACCUCGGAACGGCAUUCGAUACGGGACGGCUGGAGACCGGGAGAGGAGAGUGGAAUAGCCAGUGUAGAGGUGAAAUUCGUAGAUAUUGGCUGGAACACCGGUGGCGAAAGCGGCUCUCUGGCCCGGUUCUGACGCUGAGGCGCGAAAGCGUGGGGAGCAAACAGG